GCCGGGUUCCAAGCGGGCCCACAUGCGCCGCGACACGGUUGCGGCACCGACGGAGGAGCAGCGCAAAGCCAGGCGCCGCCGAUUCGCCCCCCGCUCGCCGCCGCCGGCUGCUCCUCCCAAAGCCCCAGACUCUCUCCACCAAUGCCGGCGCCGCCCGCCCCGGCGCCGCCCAGCGCGUCGUGGCGCUCCGCUGCGUGGCGCCGGCACGCCAGCCCCGCGGCGGCGGCGUCCUCCUCCUCCACUCCCAAAUCCCUCCUGCUUAUCCUCCCAGUCCUGCUGCUCCUCCUCUUCGCGCUCUCCAGAGCCCCGGAUCUCACCUUCUCCAGCACCUCCACCUCCGCCGACGCCGCCGACUCCUCCUCCUCCUCCGUUGAGGAGCAGCUACUGGGAUUACCGCACUCCUUCCCCCUCCACGGCCGCCCCUUCGACUGCUACGCCUCGCCGCAGGCCUCCCCGGUCGUCGCCAACCUCGUGGAGGGCGUGCCGCACCCCUUCUUCUACUCGCUCGCCGACAUGGGAGCUCUCCCCGACCACCCCCACAAGAACAUCGCGCGCCUCCUCAAGGGCAAGCGGUUCCGCAAGCCCGACAUCUCCGAGACCAUCCAGGAGCUGCUCGCCGGGGAGGUGGGGAGGGGCGGGCCGUCCAGCGGGGUCGUGGUCGACGUGGGGGCCAAUGUCGGCAUGGCGUCGUUCGCGGCCGCCGUGAUGGGGUUCCGGGUGGUGGCGUUCGAGCCCGUGUUCGAGAACCUGCAGCGGAUUUGCGACGGGGUGUACCUCAACCGGGUGCAGGACCGUCUUGUGGUGUAUCACGCCGCGGCUUCAGAUCGACUUGGGAACAUCACUAUGCAUAAGGUGAUUGGCCGACUUGACAACAGUGCUAUUUCUGCAACUGGUGCAAAGUUAGCAUUCAAGUCUAAUGAAGGAAUUGCUGUUGUGGUUUCCACAAUUCCAUUGGAUGAAGUCAUUCCAGAUACUGAGCGAGUUCUUAUGAUCAAAAUUGAUGUUCAAGGUUGGGAAUACCAUGUAUUGAGAGGUGCAUCGAAAUUGCUUUCAAGGACAAGAGAUGAAGCUCCCUAUCUUAUAUAUGAAGAAGAUGAACGCCUGCUGCAGGCAAGCAACACCAGCACACAGGAGAUAAGGGCAUUUCUCUCUAGUGUUGGUUACAAUGAUUGUACACGGCGUGGCACUGAUGCUCACUGUACAAAAGAAUAGGCAAAUUGGUUUCUGACUGGUGCUCUGAUGCUCCUAAGCUCAAGUUGUGUAUGAACACAGAAGAAUCAAUUAGGAUGUCUUGAGCUAUAUCAAAAGCAAAUUUUGCCCCCUUUGUCAGUCAGCAGACCAGGGGUUUACACAUUUCAUGUGUCCAAUAGUUGGGUUGCCUUGAGUUCCAUGGUACCCUUGUUCCUUUUACCUUUUAGAAUUUCACCAUCUAUUUCGAUCCAAGGGAUGUGUGCAAUCUUCGGCCAGUCAACGCCAUAUUCUUUUAUCAGUCUCUCCUUGAGAUGUGGGUGACAGAGUGCAACUUCAAUCUUCCUAAUGGAUAGUGGCAGAGGUUCCUCUGGCAGUGAUUCCAAUGCAGGGCAGUUCCAUAAGACCAACUUAUACAGUGACUGUAUUCUGGACAGGGUUGAAGGAAGUGAUUGCAGAGUAUUGCAACCACUUAUACAUAAGCUCUGGAGUGACUUUAGCUGUAGGAGAACAUCGUUAUCGUGUGCAGUGAAGGAGGUGAUUUCUGAGCAAUCUUGGAUAUCUAGGCUCUCAAUGAGCUCAAGCCUUUCUCUUAAAAGAGGAGACCUUAGUAUUGUCAUUUGAUCAGUGAUAAUGCUUCUAAGUAACCCAAAGCUUGCAGUGAUUUCACUGGUUGUUGGUGAGGAUAAACUUGCAAGUAACAAGGGGCAGUUGAAUAUGCAAAGGGAUGAGACACUGGAUCUAGCAGUGGUUGCAUGUGCCAACUUUACAUCAUGGUGGUAUGGCAUCCAGUACCCUUUUUUUGCAGUUGUUAUCUCUGUAAGAUUAGGAGGUACUGGAGGCAGUGCUUUGAGCUUUUUGCAAUCCUUAAUCACAACAUUGUGUAGAUUCAUCAUCGUAUGGCCACUCCAUAACCACUCAUUGAGUUCUGGCAUGUCAUCAAGCACCAGCUCCUCCAGCGACUGGAAAGGCUCCUGUUGGCUGCUACUGCCAUAUGCCUCUGGGCCUAUCUGCCUCAGCAUUUUCAAACGCUGCAACCAGAUUGUUCUGACGGAAGUAAGUUGACCAAGUGGUGGAAGCUGCUCCCAUGCAUUGCAGCCACUUAGGAAAAUAUGCUCAAGAUUACCAAGCCAUUCGUUCUCAAGCCAACUAGGGGAUUUGACUCCCAUCCAACCCAUGAUGUCAAGUCUCUUUAGAUUUUCGUGUGGCUGGAGGGCUUCUAGCACAUCCUCUUCCCUAUUUGUAUUUACCUCAUCUCGAUCAGGCGCCCACAUUAGCUGCAGCACAGAUAGUUGGCCUUUCUUACACAGCAUGGCUUCUUUUGCGUCAUCAGGUGUAUUGAUAUUCUCAAGGUUUCUGAUCUGCAGGGAUCCUUGGAGCUCUAGUAGAUACCCAAGCUGAACUAUGCUUUGUGUUUGCUCUCUGGUAACCUUAAAAAUUGGCAACCUCUGAAGGCAUUUCAACCUGCCAAUGUCUGUUAUGGAGGAAACAAUCUGAUUAGCUGCUGUGAGAUGUCUUAGAUUAACCAAGUUGUUCAUUCUGGAAGGCAAUUUUCCAAGCCUGCAACCUGAUAAAUUCAGAACCUGCAGGUGGUAGAGUUUGCACAAGAAUUCUGGUAGUGUGGUGAUGGUAGUUGAUGAGAUAUUUAGGUACCGGAGAUGCACACAUUGCCGUAUGCUAUCAGGAAGUCUGUCCAUCAUGCAUGGUGAUAAAUCCAAUACUCGGAGGCUUUUUACAUUAUCUAGAACUACUUGAGGGAUGGAAGCUUUGAUUGGAGCCACUGUAUUGCUAGUGAGGAAAAUGAGAGUGCGCAGGUUCGUGUAUGGGAUUGUGUCAUCAAGUGCUGAAAGGCUAUCUAGAUGCACUGACAGAUGGCGUACUGAUGAUGGGAUUCUUGUCCAUUCAUCAUCUCCUAUUCUGAAGCAUUCUUCUGUUGCAACUGCUUUUGCAAGCUCAUAAAUUACAGGAGGCAUCACAUAAUAGCUGACAAAUUCUUUCUUCUGAAUUGCGAAGAAGGACUUAUUGCACAGAUCAUUUAUGUAUUCCUUCCCAAUGUCCUCCAUUCUCCUGCAACCUUGUGCUAUCCACUGGAGAAUCAGCUGCUCAGCUUCAAAUUCCCAGCCCCUGGGGAAGAUGCUGCAAUAUGCAAAGCACUGUUUUAGGUGUCUAGCUACAACCUUUGCAGCAAGAGGAAGACCACUGAGUGUCUCAGCGAUUUUCCUUCCGAUGUUCUCCAAUUGUGAGUUGAUGUUGUGGCUUGUCUCAUCAAACAUACAAGACUUUAUCAGGGACCAACAGUCAUUAACUAGCAAGGCCUCCAAACAAAUUAUAUAGGACGAUUGCAACAUCUCAGCCACCAUACGUGACCGAGUUGUCAGAAGUAUCUUGCUCCCCUUUGCUCCACCCUUUAGGGGGGCUAGCAGCUUCUGCCAGUUCUCUUGUUCUAUUGCUAUUGUAAUGUUGUCAUUGUUCCAAACAUCAUCUAAGACAAGGAGGAACCGUUUUGAAGCAAGCCUUGCCGUCAGCGCCACUUGAAGUCUAUUGAAAUUUGUUGUGCCAUCAUGCCUAAACCGACUGCUGGAAGCUGACUCCAGCAUUUCUUUUGUGAUCCUCAACUCGUCAAAGAGAUAAGUAACAGAGAUCCACAUUCUCACAUUAAAGUUCUCAGUUAUUCUAGUGUCGUUGUACACAUGCUGUGCUAGAGCAGUCUUGCCUAUGCCACCUACCCCAACAAUAGAGACAACAGAGACUGGAUUCUCAUCCUGAGAGCUUGUUAGAGCGGUUACCAACUGUUGGGAUUUGAAGUCCCGCCCAAUGAUUUUCCCAUGGAUUAUUGAGCUAGUCAUGGUGUUGCAAUUGUUGCUCCUGAUGCUCCUGGGUAGGCUGAGUGCUUCACUAACUCCACUUGCAACCUGCUCAAUACGCUCCAAUAGAUUUACCAUCUCAUUCUUUACCUUGGUUGAUCUAUCCCAACAUGGCUCCGGGCUAGAAGCUGGGGCACCUUGGUUGCGAAACCGGGAAUGCAUGAAGGUGCUGAUUGGGCUACUGCUGCUCCCAUUUGCACUUGAUUCUUCCAUUUCAUGGUGGAGGCGGUUGUACUCAAGCUUGUCUAGGAGAUCUUCUGCAUGAUACAUGCAAUCUCGGAGCUCCCGCAUCCAUGGAAGAGAGCUGUGGGAGAGUGUGGGCGCCAGCUCAGUUCCAUGGAGAACUGACUGUGUGCGAAGCAAAGCAACACGAAGCCUGUCUAGCUCAUGGUCGAUGCCACAGUUGACUGCCCACCUCUGGAGCUUGUAGGAAAGAUACUUGUCGAAGAUAACCUGGAUGAACCAGCCACCUAUAGCCAGGUAGCUGGAGAUGUCCAUAGUGCAGAUUAUUGAACUUGCUGUUUCUUCUUAGGAUCAAUAUUGAUAUAUUAUAUACUAUAUAUACUGCCACUCUGCCAGGCUACCAGGUCAAAGUCUUCCACCAAGUCUUUGUGAAGUUACACACCAGGUCAAAGUCUUCCGCCAAGUCUUUGAGAAGUCUUCCACCAACAGUGGAAUCUAUUCAAUUUUAAAAUGACACAUUUCUCAGCUUUGAUCAUUUAUUGCAUCUCGAUGAACCUUAAUGCACUGUUUUCAGCUAACCCUUGUUGCUGUGUUAACCUGAAGUGACUGUUUGAGUUUCGAAUUCAGUAUUUAGUCCUAGAAUUUGUUUGGAUCUUAGACAGGCCUGUAGCACUUCGUUUUCAAGAAGUUAAUGUUUUAGUUAAUCAGUUGGAAAUGAAUGCAAGACAGGGGUUUAGUUAGAGUAUCACCAGUUUACUUUUAAUGGAAUUUAGGACGAAUUCUACACACUGGCUGAGGUUCAGACAUUAUUUUGCAUUGAAAUGGAGAAGACGUCGGAGAAAUUUGAAGGUAGCACACAUUUAUAGUUCUGUUCAUAUACACUAGUUAAAUCCUGUUGGAACCAUUCAUAUUAUGUACAAAUUGUGGAGAUUCAAAUUUCUUAUGAAGAAUCGGUUCUUUACCAGGUUACUAAGCCGUAAUUUUAACUGUACCUAUGGAUAAUCAGUUGUGACUAAUGGUUACUUUGUUAUGAAGAUAGGCUGGAAAUAAUAGCUACAUUUGUGGUCACCAAGAACCUACAGAGCAUCUGUUUUUUCAAUGCCUUUUUGCUGAACUUGCGUGGAGUACAAUUUGUAGGAGUUUUGGUGUGGAGACUACAAAGAUGUUUUGGUUGACUUUUUCUUCACUUGUGGAAAUAUCAGCUUCCUGCAAAUUCCAAUUGCCUUUGGGCUGGUUCUGCUACUAUUAGUUGGGCCCUUUGGAACAUGUUGGGCCUAUAAACCACGCCGCUGCGUACCAAAACUUUGUGCUUUCCUCACAUACUAGGCAGAGGCAGGUUUGGUCUAAUCUUCCAGUAGAGCACAUGAAGGAAGCCAGACUAAUAAAUAAAAGGUAUUACCAAGUGAGGUCCCUUUAAGGAGGAUUUUGAUAUCACUGAUGUUAUGGGAUCUUGUUAAACCCUACUAGGUGGUAGCUGGAUUAGUUCUGUGCUUUCCCUCUAUGCAAGACUUGUGGGCUUGAUUGACAGAGGGAUCGCAGUUCGCAGGGGAGGUUCUGUUCUUCUGUGAAAGAAAUACUUAAGUAAAAACAUGAACGUGAAGUAACCCAUUCUACUGAAA